UACGGAGGGUGCAAGCGUUGUUCGGAUUUACUGGGCGUAAAGCGCGCGCAGGUGGGUGAACAAGUCGGAAGUGAAAUCUUGAGGCUCAACCUCGAGGCUGCUCCCGAAACUGUUCGCCUAGGGACUGGUAGAGGCUGGUAGAAUUCCCGGUGUAGCGGUGGAAUGCGUAGAGAUCCGGAAGAACACCAGUGGCGAAGGCGGCCCGCUGGGCAGUGGCUGACGCUGAGGCGCGACAGCGUGGGGAGCAAACAGG
rnacentral:rRNA from 1 species